GACGAACGCUGGCGGCGUGCCUAAUACAUGCAAGUAGAACGCUGAAGGAGGAGCUUGCUUCUCUGGAUGAGUUGCGAACGGGUGAGUAACACGUAGGUAACCUGCCUGGUAGCGGGGGAUAACUAUUGGAAACGAUAGCUAAUACCGCAUAAUAGCAGUUAUUGCAUGAUAACUGUUUGAAAGGUGCAAUUGCACCACUACCAGAUGGACCUGCGUUGUAUUAGCUAGUUGGUGGGGUAACGGCUCACCAAGGCGACGAUACAUAGCCGACCUGAGAGGGUGAUCGGCCACACUGGGACUGAGACACGGCCCAGACUCCUACGGGAGGCAGCAGUAGGGAAUCUUCGGCAAUGGACGGAAGUCUGACCGAGCAACGCCGCGUGAGUGAAGAAGGUUUUCGGAUCGUAAAGCUCUGUUGUAAGAGAAGAACGAGUGUGAGAGUGGAAAGUUCACACUGUGACGGUAUCUUACCAGAAAGGGACGGCUAACUACGUG
rnacentral:rRNA from 1 species